CACUCGCCACAAGCUACAUCAGAGUCACAGCAGUACAAUACCUAUUCAUCAAGAGUAAGAGCAGGGUCCGACUACGGACGAAAACAAACGAGAAAAGAAGAACGACGUCCAUCCUUCUAUUCCAGGCUGCCGGUCUGGAACCCAUCCUAGAUCGAAGAAGAAGAAGAAGAAGCAACUCCAAAUGAUCAAUCAACGCGCUCGCGUCAAGUACCCUUUACCUGUACCUGCAACUGGUGUUGUAGUAAUCUGUGAGCCACAGGGGACUCAACAAUCUCAUUUCGAAAGGUAUCAAGACUAGCAAGGCUUAAUGGGUGAGGCAUGGAUAAGUGGUGAGGUUGCAGCAGCGGCUAAGCAUAUAUUUGGUGGCUAAACUUACGAGUACAAUAAAUAAGAGAGGGAAGAUCCACGCAUAACGGACGUGUACUAAUCAUGAUCAAAUGAAUGAUCCUGAACACCUACCUACGCCAGACAUAACCCCACCGUGUCCUCGUUCGGAGAAGGAACUCACGAAAGAGACAGUCACGGUUACGCACACAGUUAGCAUAAUUUAAUUAAGUUAACUUCAAGUUAUCUAGAACCAGUGUUAAACAAAGUUUCCACGUUGCCACAUAACCGCGGACACGGCUUUCCGAAAAGAUUUAACCCUGCAGGGGUGCUCCAACUAGUCC
rnacentral:lncRNA from 1 species